rnacentral:rRNA from 1 species
AUACGUAGGGUGCAAGCGUUAAUCGGAAUUACUGGGCGUAAAGCGUGCGCAGGCGGUUUUGUAAGACAGAGGUGAAAUCCCCGGGCUCAACCUGGGAACUGCCUUUGUGACUGCAAGGCUAGAGUACGGCAGAGGGGGAUGGAAUUCCGCGUGUAGCAGUGAAAUGCGUAGAUAGGCGGAGGAACACCGAUGGCGUAGGCACUCCCCUAGGCCUGUACUGACGCUCAUGCACGAAAGCGUGGGGAGCAAACAGGAUUAGAUGCCCUUGUAGUCCACGCCCUAAACGAUGUCAACUGGUUGUUGGGGAUUUAUUUUCUCAGUAACGAAGCUAACGCGUGAAGUUGACCGCCUGGGGAGUACGGCCGCAAGGUUAAAACUUAAAGGAAUUGACGGGG